AAAUUGAAGAGUUUGAUCAUGGCUCAGAUUGAACGCUGGCGGCAGGCCUAACACAUGCAAGUCGAACGGUAACAGGAAACAGCUUGCUGUUUCGCUGACGAGUGGCGGACGGGUGAGUAAUGUCUGGGAAACUGCCUGAUGGAGGGGGAUAACUACUGGAAACGGUAGCUAAUACCGCAUAACGUCGCAAGACCAAAGAGGGGGACCUUCGGGCCUCUUGCCAUCGGAUGUGCCCAGAUGGGAUUAGCUAGUUGGUGGGGUAACGGCUCACCAAGGCGACGAUCCCUAGCUGGUCUGAGAGGAUGACCAGCCACACUGGAACUGAGACACGGUCCAGACUCCUACGGGAGGCAGCAGUGGGGAAUAUUGCACAAUGGGCGCAAGCCUGAUGCAGCCAUGCCGCGUGUAUGAAGAAGGCCUUCGGGUUGUAAAGUACUUUCAGCGGGGAGGAAGGGAGUAAAGUUAAUACCUUUGCUCAUUGACGUUACCCGCAGAAGAAGCACCGGCUAACUCCGUGCCAGCAGCCGCGGUAAUACGGAGGGUGCAAGCGUUAAUCGGAAUUACUGGGCGUAAAGCGCACGCAGGCGGUUUGUUAAGUCAGAUGUGAAAUCCCCGGGCUCAACCUGGGAACUGCAUCUGAUACUGGCAAGCUUGAGUCUCGUAGAGGGGGGUAGAAUUCCAGGUGUAGCGGUGAAAUGCGUAGAGAUCUGGAGGAAUACCGGUGGCGAAGGCGGCCCCCUGGACGAAGACUGACGCUCAGGUGCGAAAGCGUGGGGAGCAAACAGGAUUAGAUACCCUGGUAGUCCACGCCGUAAACGAUGUCGACUUGGAGGUUGUGCCCUUGAGGCGUGGCUUCCGGAGCUAACGCGUUAAGUCGACCGCCUGGGGAGUACGGCCGCAAGGUUAAAACUCAAAUGAAUUGACGGGGGCCCGCACAAGCGGUGGAGCAUGUGGUUUAAUUCGAUGCAACGCGAAGAACCUUACCUGGUCUUGACAUCCACGGAAGUUUUCAGAGAUGAGAAUGUGCCUUCGGGAACCGUGAGACAGGUGCUGCAUGGCUGUCGUCAGCUCGUGUUGUGAAAUGUUGGGUUAAGUCCCGCAACGAGCGCAACCCUUAUCCUUUGUUGCCAGCGGUCCGGCCGGGAACUCAAAGGAGACUGCCAGUGAUAAACUGGAGGAAGGUGGGGAUGACGUCAAGUCAUCAUGGCCCUUACGACCAGGGCUACACACGUGCUACAAUGGCGCAUACAAAGAGAAGCGACCUCGCGAGAGCAAGCGGACCUCAUAAAGUGCGUCGUAGUCCGGAUUGGAGUCUGCAACUCGACUCCAUGAAGUCGGAAUCGCUAGUAAUCGUGGAUCAGAAUGCCACGGUGAAUACGUUCCCGGGCCUUGUACACACCGCCCGUCACACCAUGGGAGUGGGUUGCAAAAGAAGUAGGUAGCUUAACCUUCGGGAGGGCGCUUACCACUUUGUGAUUCAUGACUGGGGUGAAGUCGUAACAAGGUAACCGUAGGGGAACCUGCGGUUGGAUCACCUCCUUA
rnacentral:rRNA from 1 species